rnacentral:rRNA from 1 species
GACGAACGCUGGCGGCGUGCCUAAUACAUGCAAGUAGAACGCUGAAGGAGGAGCUUGCUUCUCCGGAUGAGUUGCGAACGGGUGAGUAACGCGUAGGUAACCUGCCUGGUAGCGGGGGAUAACUAUUGGAAACGAUAGCUAAUACCGCAUAACAGUAGAUGUUGCGUGACAUUUGCUUAAAAGGUGCAAUUGCAUCACUACCAGAUGGACCUGCGUUGUAUUAGCUAGUUGGUGAGGUAACGGCUCACCAAGGCGACGAUACAUAGCCGACCUGAGAGGGUGAUCGGCCACACUGGGACUGAGACACGGCCCAGACUCCUAAGGGAGGCAGCAGUAGGGAAGCUUCGGCAAUGGACGGAAGUCUGACCGAGCAACGCCGCGUGAGUGAAGAAGGUUGUCGGAUCGUAAAGCUCUGUUGUAAGAGAAGAACGAGUGUGAGAGUGGAAAGUUCACACUGUGACGGUAGCUUAACAGAAAGGGACGGCUAACUACGUG